GCAUCUAUGGUAAAGCGGUAGUGGGUCUGAUUUGCGCUUGGGAGAUCAAGGGUUCAAAUCCUGAUGGACGCA